AACUGAUCCUGCUACAGCUCCACCAUGAAGUUCUUCAUGGUCCUGCUGCCAGCCAGCCUAGCCGCCACCUCUCUCGCCAUCCUUGAUGUUGAAUCUGGCCUCCUUCCACAACUCUCAGUCCCCUAAGGGUUAUUGAGCUGUCAGCUGGAGAGACCUCAGCACUAGAAAGGGCCUUCCUUAAUCCUUGUAAUAUGCUGUGUGGAGAGGUGGAAAGCUGCAGAACCAAAAGUUCACACCUGGGAUGACCUAGAGCCAGAAGGUGAAAUUCACUCGGAGACUCAGCCUGCAGAUGCCUCUGCCCAGGUCACCCCUAGCAGCCACCCCAAGAAGGACCAUGUUUCCAAUGAAGCCUCUCUAGGAGCGCUUCAUCUCCAAAGAAGAGCUGGUUUCCAAAAAGAAUGCUGUCAAAAGAGCACACACCCCAAGAGGACAAUUUCAAAAAUGUUAAGCUCCAAUUAGAAGAGACUACAGAACUGGCUCCCAGGGCUGUACUCCUCAGCAACCGCCUCAGAGGGAAAACUUGCCAAACUGGCCCAUAAAAUCGGGAAGAAUCUGGACAAAGCAUUGAAAGGAAUCAUAAACUAUCUGAAAAACCUAAUCCCUAGCGCCAAUGAUGUCAUGAGGCCCUAAUGAUGAGGGUGCCUGAAUUCCAGGCUAGGCUGUGGGAG
ensembl:lncRNA GLYCAM1 glycosylation dependent cell adhesion molecule 1 (pseudogene)